CUGACUCUGCUGAUUUGCAUCACGGGCCGCUCUCUCAGCAAGGGGAUAAGAGAGGCCUGGGAGGAACCUGCCCAGCCUGGGCCUCAGGAAGCAGCAUCGGGGGAGCCUCAGCCAUGGCCUGGACCCCUCUCCUCCUCGGCCUCCUCGCUCACUGCACAGGCUCUGCGACCUCCUAUGAGCUGACUCAGCCACACUCGGUGUCAGUGGCCCCAGGACAGACGGCCAGUAUUACCUGUGGGGGAAACAACAUUGGAAGUGAAUAUGUGCACUGGUACCAGCAGAAAUCAGGCCAGGCCCCAGUGCUGGUCAUCUAUAGGAAUAGCAACAGGCCCUCAGGGAUCCCUGAGCGAUUCUCUGGCUCCAACUCUGGGAACACCGCCACCCUGACCAUCAGCGGGGUCGAGGCCGGGGAUGAGGCUGACUAUUACUGUGAGGUGUGGGACGGUAGUGGUAAACAUCCCACAGUGACCCAGGCAGAUGGGGAAAGGUCCUGGGCCCCAGGCUGCAUGGCGGCCUGUGACUCCCAACAGAGCAAACCAGAGGAGGGGACACUGUGA